CACGUAGGGUGCGAGCGUUAAUCGGAAUUACUGGGCGUAAAGCGUGCGCAGGCGGUUCGUUAAGACAGAUGUGAAAUCCCCGGGCUCAACCUGGGAACUGCAUUUGUGACUGUAGAGCUGGAGUACGGUAGAGGGGGAUGGAAUUCCGCGUGUAGCAGUGAAAUGCGUAGAUAUGCGGAGGAACACCGAUGGCGAAGGCAAUCCCCUGGACCUGUACUGACGCUCAUGCACGAAAGCGUGGGGAGCAAACAGG
rnacentral:rRNA from 1 species